CCUACGGGAGGCAGCAGUGGGGAAUCUUGCGCAAUGGGCGAAAGCCUGACGCAGCAACGCCGCGUGCGGGAAGAAGGCUUUCGGGCUGUAAACCGCUUUCAGCAGGAACGAAAAUGACGGUACCUGCAGAAGAAGGAGCGGCCAACUAUGUGCCAGCAGCCGCGGUGAUACAUAGGCUUCAAGCGUUGUCCGGAUUUAUUGGGCGUAAAGAGUUCGUAGGCGGUCGAGUAAGUCGGGUGUGAAAAUUCUGGGCUCAACCCAGAGACGCCACCCGAUACUGCUUGACUUGAGUUCGAUAGGGGAGUGGGGAAUUCCUAGUGUAGCGGUGAAAUGCGCAGAUAUUAGGAGGAACACCGGUGGCGAAGGCGCCACUCUGGAUCGAUACUGACGCUGAGGAACGAAAGCAUGGGUAGCAAACCGGAUUAGAUACCCUGGUAGUCCAUGCCGUAAACGGUGGGCACUAGGUGUGGGUUUCUAUUAACGAAAUCCGCGCCGUCGCUAACGCAUUAAGUGCCCCGCCUGGGGAUACGGUCGCAGACUAAACGUUAAAGGAAUUGACGG
rnacentral:rRNA from 1 species